GCGGGGAGAGUAGCUUGCUACUUGACCUAGCGGCGGACGGGUGAGUAAUGCUUAGGAAUCUGCCUAUUAGUGGGGGACAACAUCUCGAAAGGGAUGCUAAUACCGCAUACGUCCUACGGGAGAAAGCAGGGGACCUUCGGGCCUUGCGCUAAUAGAUGAGCCUAAGUCGGAUUAGCUAGUUGGUGGGGUAAAGGCCUACCAAGGCGACGAUCUGUAGCGGGUCUGAGAGGAUGAUCCGCCACACUGGGACUGAGACACGGCCCAGACUCCUACGGGAGGCAGCAGUGGGGAAUAUUGGACAAUGGGGGGAACCCUGAUCCAGCCAUGCCGCGUGUGUGAAGAAGGCCUUUUGGUUGUAAAGCACUUUAAGCGAGGAGGAGGCUACCGAGAUUAAUACUCUUGGAUAGUGGACGUUACUCGCAGAAUAAGCACCGGCUAACUCUGUGCCAGCAGCCGCGGUAAUACAGAGGGUGCAAGCGUUAAUCGGAUUUACUGGGCGUAAAGCGCGCGUAGGUGGCCAAUUAAGUC
rnacentral:rRNA from 1 species